AUGGAUGGAAUCAAAUACGCAGUAUUUACAGAAAAAAGUCUUCAUUUAGGAAAGAAUCAAUAUACUUUUAAUGUCGAAUCGGGAUUCACUAAGACAGAAAUAAAGCAUUGGGUCGAACUCUUCUUUGGUGUUAAGGUGGUAGCUGUGAAUAGCCAUCGACUACCUGGAAAAGGUAGAAGAAUAGGACCUAUUCUGGGCCAUACAAUGCAUUACAGAUCGUAUGAUCAUUACCCUUCAACCGGGUUAUUCUAUUACACUUCUAGAUAG
rnacentral:rRNA from 1 species